AAUUCGCCCUUAGAGUUUGAUCCUGGCUCAGAUUGAACGCUGGCGGCAUGCCUAACACAUGCAAGUCGAACGGUAACAGGCGGAAGCUUGCUUCUGCGCUGACGAGUGGCGGACGGGUGAGUAACGCGUAGGAAUCUGCCCGGUAGUGGGGGACAACCUGGGGAAACCCAGGCUAAUACCGCAUACGCCCUACGGGGGAAAGGUGGCCUCUCCUUGGAAGCUACCGCUAUCGGAUGAGCCUGCGUCGGAUUAGCUUGUUGGUGAGGUAAUGGCUCGCCAAGGCGACGAUCCGUAGCUGGUCUGAGAGGACGAUCAGCCACACUGGGACUGAGACACGGCCCAGACUCCUACGGGAGGCAGCAGUGGGGAAUAUUGGACAAUGGGGGCAACCCUGAUCCAGCAAUGCCGCGUGUGUGAAGAAGGCCUGCGGGUUGUAAAGCACUUUCAGUAGGGAAGAAAAGAUCAAGGCCAA
rnacentral:rRNA from 1 species